CCGGGCGUGAACACGUGUGUGUGUGUGUGUGAUUCCCGUGUAAUACUGUGUCCAGAUUCUGCUGCUACUGUCACCUAGUGUGUCUACUUGUGGGGGGUCCCUGUCACCUAAGAGAAGUAAGAAGCAGCCGAGAAACUGAUCUGACGAAAGAGAACCUCCCGCCAAGACCAGCAACAAGCAGUAAUCCUUAACAAGGAUGACGUCAGGGGGAGGGUGGCGGCGAGUGGCAGUGGCGGCGGUGGUGAUGUGUCUGAUGGCGGCGGCGACGACGGCUGACCAAGAGGAGCCUGAAGGAGUCACGACCGCAGAAUUCACCGAAAACGACCUGACACAGAACUUCACAGGCAGCGACGAUGAGGGAGACGCCUCUGGUGGUGGUGAGGGUGGAAGUGGAGUGAAUGACAGCCAGGCGACACCAACAAGUGCGACGAACGCAAACAACACGGAAGUAGGAGGAGCAGCAGAAGGAGGAGGAGGAGCAGCAGAAGGAGGAGGAGGAGAAGCAGAAGGAGAAGCAGUAGCAGCAGGAGGAGAAGGAAUAACAGAGG
rnacentral:lncRNA from 1 species